UUAGAGUUUGAUCCUGGCUCAGGAUGAACGCUAGCGGCAGGCUUAACACAUGCAAGUCGAGGGGCAGCGCGGGUGGCAACACCUGGCGGCGACCGGCGCAAGGGUGCGUAACGCGUGAGCAAUCUGCCCGUGUCAGGGGGAUAAGCGAUGGAAACGUCGUCUAAUACCGCAUAACAGCCAUGGGGGCAUCCCCGGGGCUUGAAAGAUUCGUCGGACACGGAUGAGCUCGCGAGGCAUUAGCUAGUUGGUGAGGUAACGGCUCACCAAGGCUGCGAUGUCUAGGGGGUCUGAGAGGAUGGUCCCCCACACUGGAACUGAGACACGGUCCAGACUCCUACGGGAGGCAGCAGUGAGGAAUAUUGGACAAUGGUCGGAAGACUGAUCCAGCCAUGCCGCGUGAAGGAUUAAGGUCCUAUGGAUUGUAAACUUCUUUUGUACGGGAGCAAUAAGCGCCACGGGUGGCGCGACGAGAGUACCGUACGAAUAAGCAUCGGCUAACUCCGUGCCAGCAGCCGCGGUAAUACGGAGGAUGCGAGCGUUAUCCGGAUUUAUUGGGUUUAAAGGGUGCGUAGGCGGCUUGGUAAGUCAGCGGUGAAACGCAGGGGCUCAACCCCGGAGCUGCUUUGGAAACUGCUGAGCUAGAGUGUGGGAGAGGAAAGCGGAACUUUGAGUGUAGCGGUGAAAUGCGUAGAGAUUAGGAAGAACACCGGUGGCGAAGGCGACUUUCUGGACUGUAACUGACGCUGAGGCUCGAAAGCGUGGGGAGCGAACAGGAUUAGAUACCCUGGUAGUCCACGCCGUAAACGAUGAUGACUAACCGUCGGCGAUACACAGUCGGUGGCCAAGCGAAAGCGAUAAGUCAUCCACCUGGGGAGUACGACCGCAAGGUUGAAACUCAAAGGAAUUGACGGGGGCCCGCACAAGCGGAGGAACAUGUGGUUUAAUUCGAUGAUACGCGAGGAACCUUACCCGGGCUCGAACGGCUGGUGAAGAGAUCCAGAGAUGGUGACGUCCUUCGGGACACCAGUCGAGGUGCUGCAUGGUUGUCGUCAGCUCGUGUCGUGAGAUGUUGGCUCAAGUGCCAUAACGAGCGCAACCCUUGCUGCCAGUUACCAGCGCGUAAAGGCGGGGACUCUGGCGGGACUGCCACCGUAAGGUGUGAGGAAGGCGGGGAUGACGUCAAAUCAGCACGGCCCUUACGUCCGGGGCGACACACGUGUUACAAUGACAGCUACAGAGGGAAGCUACCUGGCGACAGGAUGCAGAUCUCGAAAAGCUGCCUCAGUUCGGACUGGAGUCUGCAACCCGACUCCACGAAGCUGGAUUCGCUAGUAAUCGCGCAUCAGCCAUGGCGCGGUGAAUACGUUCCCGGGCCUUGUACUCACCGCCCGUCA
rnacentral:rRNA from 1 species